AACGAACGCUGGCGGCAGGCCUAACACAUGCAAGUCGAGCGAGACCUUCGGGUCUAGCGGCGGACGGGUGAGUAACGCGUGGGAACGUGCCCUUUGCUACGGAAUAGCCCCGGGAAACUGGGAGUAAUACCGUAUGUGCCCUUCGGGGGAAAGAUUUAUCGGCAAAGGAUCGGCCCGCGUUGGAUUAGGUAGUUGGUGGGGUAAUGGCCUACCAAGCCGACGAUCCAUAGCUGGUUUGAGAGGAUGAUCAGCCACACUGGGACUGAGACACGGCACAGACUCCUACGGGAGGCAGCAGUGGGGAAUCUUAGACAAUGGGGGAAACCCUGAUCUAGCCAUGCCGCGUGAGCGAUGAAGGCCUUAGGGUUGUAAAGCUCUUUCAGGUGGGAAGAUAAUGACGGUACCACCAGAAGAAGCCCCGGCUAACUCCGUGCCAGCCGCCGCAGUAACAC
rnacentral:rRNA from 1 species